rnacentral:lncRNA from 1 species
UUGGUUGCCAGGAAUUGCAAAGUUGAUCAAAAGAAUUUAAACACAAACAUUGUUACAGACCAAGCUUCCAUGAAGCUCAUGUAUAAUCUUAAGAAAAAAGAGAGGAAAGGACAAGCCCAACAUCCAUGAGAAAGAAACUUGUCAAUGUCUCAUAUCUGCUACAAAAAGAAAUUUAAGUAGCUACCUUCAACAUAGUUCGACUGUAAUUGUGGGUUGACGAUCUAAAUACAAAAAGGAUUCGAUACCCAGGAUCAUGAAACUUUAAUCAUCCUUCAGUCUUCUGAGAAGUUUGGAAGCCCAGUGGCGAACACGUCUCUUCAGCGUGUACCCAACAACUAUUCCAGCAACAAAGCAAAUGGCACAUAGCUUGGAGCAGGUCCAUAGGGAAACGAAGUGCCUGCAAUUUAGAGAUACACGUUCGAUUU